rnacentral:lncRNA from 1 species
AUGAAAGUUGGAGAAAUAGAACAUUUUCCAGUCCCUAUUCAGGGGUUGGUGACCUCCGUGGCCCCCAGCCUCGUGGCUUUGGGCUUUGGAAGGCUGGUGUCUGGUCUCACUGAUGGCUACAGGCUGGACUCACCCCCACCAUCUCUGUCCUCACCAACCCUGUCCCCAGCCCCCUGGCUCAUCCCCAGUAUCCUCUACAAACCUGCUCCUACUCGGGUCCAGGGCAGGAGGCUGAGCACUGUGGGCCAUCCUGGGAGCCUCAGGCUGCACAGGUUGCUGACCUUGGACUGUAAGGGCUGAGUACGAAGGCAGAAGGUGGGGAUUCUCAGGCAAUGCAGCAGGCCUGCGAGAGACUCUGGGGAGGAGCAACAGGGCUCUCUAAAUUGCCACCUGCAAGUGGCUGCGUCCUCCUACCAUGGGGCACCCAGGACCCAGCUCAGGCUUGCACCUGGGUUCUUCCUUGUUGAACCUGUGGCAAAGCAAGGAGGAGACUUGGUCUACUCCCUCCUGGGCAGCCUCUGCUGA